UCUAUGCCUUCUAUUCAUGUAACAAAGAAUUUGAAACAACUGUGUUUUUUAAAAAUCAGUUGUAUUAUUCAUUCCACAUAUAAUAGGAAAUAAAUAUCAAUGAUUGGAUAAUACGAUUUAUUGGUUCCAAAUGCAAUAGGAAGGGACAAGAGCAAACACUUGGAUCUCUUUGCUCAUCCUUAGAGAUUUCUGAAAAUAAUGUGGAAUCUAGUCAAGAAUAUUACAUCAAUCAAUAAGAAUUCUGUGGUCCUUGAGAAAGAGAACACACAAAUCAAAUUCCCUUGUUCUACUCAUCAAAUUAUGCAAGCCUCCCAAACAACUAAACUGGGUAUGAAAUUUAAAAUCAAUUCACUUUCAAUCUGUUGAGCUAAAAUUUAAUUCUAUCUGAUCUACGUUCAACUCAAAAGAAAAACAAAUAUUUGAAUGAGGAAAACAAAUCGUUGAGUGAUCGCUUGUCUACCAUAGAAGAUCAGCUGAAAUAAAUAAGAAAAAUGAAAGAAUUCGUUGCUUCUCAACAAUUGCAUAGCCCGCAUAUGAAAUCACCCGUAUCAUUUAAGUGGCCACUGACUUUUUAUCUGACCAACUUGUUGAUAUUUUGGAUAUCGCUUGGUUAAUUUUCGAGUUCUUUUGUGAAGAAUGAAUCUCAAGUCAAGAUUAAAGUUUAGAAGAUGUUGGAAAAUUAUUAUUUUUCUAGGAAAGUUGUGCUAUGACGUGAAAUCAUAGUCUUGCUUGGGAUAUUGUCAAUAUGCUAAACUUGUUUUUUCAAUUCAAUAUUGAAACUUACACCAUGGGAUGUUUACCUAUUUUUAUAUUUAUAUCAGCUUUUUUUUAUUGAGAUUCA